GGGAGGCAGCAGUGGGGAAUUUUGCGCAAUGGGCUAACGCCUGACGCAGCAACGCCGCGUGGAGGAUGAAGGUCUUUGGAUUGUAAACUCCUGUCAGCAGGGAAAAAGCGGUAGGUGCUCAUACCACCUAGAGUUGAUUGUACCUGCAGAGGAAGCCCCGGCUAACUCUGUGCCAGCAGCCGCGGUAAUACAGAGGGGGCAAGCGUUAUUCGGAAUUAUUGGGCGUAAAGGGCGCGUAGGCGGCUUGGCAAGUGGAUGGUGAAAUCCCUCGGCUUAACCGAGGAACUGCCAUCCAGACUGCUUUGCUCGAGUCCCGGAGAGGAGGGUGGAAUUCCUGGUGUAGCGGUGAAAUGCGUAGAUAUCAGGAGGAACACCGGUGGCGAAGGCGGCCCUCUGGACGGUGACUGACGCUGAGACGCGAAAGCGUGGGGAGCAAACAGGAUUAGAUACCCCAGUAGUCCG
rnacentral:rRNA from 1 species